AAGCAACACUCUGUGGCAGAUGACCAAAUUGUCUGACACAAUAUGAGCUUGCUAUAGCAAGAAGAUCUAACCUAUUCCAGCGUUUUCUCCUCCAUGAGACCAAUUGUUAUAUAGAUUUAAAAAGU
rfam:Canis lupus familiaris chromosome 24, whole genome shotgun sequence.